rnacentral:rRNA from 1 species
GAACGCUGGCGGCGUGCUUAACACAUGCAAGUCGAACGAUGAAGCCCUUCGGGGUGGAUUAGUGGCGAACGGGUGAGUAACACGUGGGCAAUCUGCCCUGCACUCUGGGACAAGCCCUGGAAACGGGGUCUAAUACCGGAUAUUACUCGUCAAGGCAUCUUGACGGGUGGAAAGCUCCGGCGGUGCAGGAUGAGCCCGCGGCCUAUCAGCUUGUUGGUGGGGUGAUGGCCUACCAAGGCGACGACGGGUAGCCGGCCUGAGAGGGCGACCGGCCACACUGGGACUGAGACACGGCCCAGACUCCUACGGGAGGCAGCAGUGGGGAAUAUUGCACAAUGGGCGAAAGCCUGAUGCAGCGACGCCGCGUGAGGGAUGACGGCCUUCGGGUUGUAAACCUCUUUCAGCAGGGAAGAAGCGCAAGUGACGGUACCUGCAGAAGAAGCACCGGCUAACUACGUGCCAGCAGCCGCGGUAAUACGUAGGGUGCGAGCGUUGUCCGGAAUUAUUGGGCGUAAAGAGCUCGUAGGCGG